UGGGGAAUUUUGCACAAUGGGGGAAACCCUGAUGCAGCGACGCCGCGUGAUUUAGAAGGCCUUCGGGUUGUAAAAAUCUUUUCUAUGGGAAGAAAUGACAGUACCAUAGGAAUAAGGACCGGCUAAUUACGUGCCAGCAGCCGCGGUAAUACGUAAGGUCCGAGCGUUGUCCGGAAUCAUUGGGCGUAAAGGGUACGUAGGCGGGUAAGCAAGUUAGAAGUGAAAUCCUAUAGCUCAACUAUAGUAAGCUUUUAAAACUGCUCAUCUUGAGGUAUGGAAGGGAAAGUGGAAUUCCUAGUGUAGCGGUGAAAUGCGCAGAUAUUAGGAGGAAUACCGGUGGCGAAGGCGACUUUCUGGCCAUAACCUGACGCUGAGGUACGAAAGCGUGGGUAGCAAACAGG
rnacentral:rRNA from 1 species